CUAUAGGAGCAGUAUUUGCAAUAAUAGGAGGUGUCAUUCAAUGAUAUCCACUAUUUACAGGAUUAACUAUAAAUAAUACAUGAUUAAAAAUCCAAUUUACAAUUAUAUUCAUUGGAGUAAAUUUAACAUUCUUUCCUCAACACUUCCUAGGAUUAGCAGGAAUACCUCGACGAUACUCUGACUACCCAGACGCAUAUACAUCAUGAAACGUAGUAUCAAGAAUUGGGUCUACAAUUUCUAUUGUAGGAAUCAUUAUAUUCAUUGUAAUUAUAUGAGAAAGAAUGAUUACAAACCGAGCAAUUAUAUUUAGAGCUAACAUAAGAAGAUCAACACAAUGACUACAAAAUAACCCUCCUGCAGAACAUAGUUACUCAGAAUUGCCAUUAAUCUCUAGAU